UGUAAGCGAGUAAGGGCAUGCGGUGGAUGCCUUGGCGCCAGGGGCCGAUGAAGGGCGCGGCACACUGCGAAAAGCCUCGGGGAGCCGUGUGCGGGCGUUAUGACCCGGGGGUGCCCGAAUGGGGAAACCCGCCUGGGGUGAACCCCAGGCAUCCGUGGCUGAAUCCAUAGGCCACGGAGGGGCACGGGGGGAACUGAAACAUCUUAGUACCCCCAGGAAAAGAAAUCAACCGAGAUUCCCCAAGUAGUGGCGAGCGAACGGGGAAGAGCCUAAACCCACAGGGUGUCAAAGCCCGAGGGCGUUGCCCUGUGGGGGUCGUGGGACCCAUCCGGAGGCGGCCUCGGACGCCUCAGGGAGUUACCAAGCCUUGGCCUAGCCGAAGCGGUCUGGAAAGGCCCGCCAUAGAGGGUGAUAGCCCCGUAGGCGAAAGGUCGAAGGCCUCCUGGGGAUGGGAUCCCGAGUACCACGGCCCACGGGGAAGGUCGUGGGAAGCAGGGGGGACCACCCUCCAAGGCUAAAUACCCCUGGCGACCGAUAGCGCACCAGUACCGUGAGGGAAAGGUGAAAAGAACCCCGGUGAGGGGAGUGAAAUAGAACCUGAAACCGCAUGCCUACAAGCGGUCCGAGGGCUAUGGCCCCUUCGGGGGCAAUGCCUGAGGGCGUGCCUUUUGGAGAAUGAGCCGGCGAGUUACUCUCGGUGGCGAAGGCUAAGGGGGUCACACCCGGAGCCGGAGCGAAAGCGAGUCCGAACAGGGCGUCCCGUCGCCGGGAGUAGACGCGAAACCGGGUGAGCUACCCAUGGCCAGGGUGAAGCGGGGCUAAUCCCCCGUGGAGGCCCGAACCCAUCACCAGUGCAAAGGUGUGGGAUGAGCUGUGGGUAGGGGUGAUAUGCCAAUCGAACCCGGAGAUAGCUCGUUCUCCCCGAAAUAGCUUUAGGGCUAGCCUCACGCGGUCCGUGGCGGAGGUAGAGCACUGGUAGGGCUAGGGGCGUUAUGCUACCGAACCCUGUCAAACUCCGAAUGCCGCCACGUGCAGCGUGGGAGUCGGACCGUGGGGGAUAACCUCCAUGGUCGAGAGGGGAACAACCCAGACCGCCUGCUAAGGCCCCCAAGUCCGGGCUCAGUGGGAAAGGAUGUGGGGCUGCUAUGACAGCCAGGAGGUUGGCUUAGAAGCAGCCAUCCUUUAAAGAGUGCGUAACAGCUCACUGGUCGAGCGGCCCUGCGCCGAAAAUGUAACGGGGCUCAAGCCCGGCGCCGAAGCAGCGGGUUCCCGCGUCGAUGAGGCGCGGGAGCGGUAGGGGAGCGUUCCGCACGCGUGGAAGCGCGACCGUGAGGACGCGUGGAGCGUGCGGAAGUGAGAAUGCCGGCACGAGUAGCGGAAGACGCGUGAGAACCGCGUCCGCCGAAGGCCUAAGGUUUCCGACGCAAGGUCGAUCCGCGUCGGGUUAGGCGGGACCUAAGGCGAGGCCGAAAGGCGUAGCCGAUGGACAGCCGGUUAAUAUUCCGGCCCCACCCGGGUGGAGCGAAGGGGGGACGCAGGAGGGUAGGCCAGCCGGCCGCUGGCUGUGCCGGUGCCAAGUCCUUAGGGCGAUGAAGGCGGCAGGCAAAUCCGCCGCCGGAGCCUGAGGGAUGAUGGCGAGCCGGGGAAACCCGGCGGAAGUGGUCGAGCCCACACUGCCGAGAAAAGCCUCUAAGCGUUGAAGCCCGGGUGCCCGUACCGCAAACCGACACCGGUAGGCUGGCGUAAGCGCGCCAAGGCGGACGGGAGAACCCUCCUCAGGGAACUCGGCAAACUGACCCCGUAACUUCGGGAGAAGGGGUGCCUCGCGUAGGGUGAGGCCUUCGGGCCGAGCCCGAGGAGGCCGCAGUGAACAGGCCCUGGCGACUGGUUACCUAAACCACAGGUCUCUGCUAACCCGUAAGGGGAAGUAUAGGGGCCGACGCCUGCCCAGUGCCGGAAGGUUAAGGGGAGGGGUGACCCGGCUUCGGCCGGUGUAGCCCUGAACUGAAGCCCCGGUGAACGGCGGCCGUAACUAUAACGGUCCUAAGGUAUCGCCGGAAAGGCGCUGCCUGCCCGCCGGGCAACCGGCGGGGCAAUACCUGGCUAUAUGCGGGGAAGCCCUGAGAGCCCUCCCUACGUCUCCGGCUCAACGCCGGCGUAAAAAUGGCGAGGGAUUGGGCAAUCCGCAGGAAACUCCCGGCCUCCCUGUCGGGAGGAUCCUCAGAGGCCAUACGCCGGGCAUCCGGUCAGGAGGCUCCGGAUGAAGCUGUCUCCAGAUUGGGUGGUGGGAUUCGUGGACGGCGAAGGCUGUUUUCACGUUUCGAUCCAGCGUCACCCCUCCAUGGCCAUUGGCUAUCAGGUGCUGCCUGAAUUCGUGGUCGUCCAACACCGUCGCGAUAUCCAGGUACUCUACGCCCUCAAACGGUUCUUCCGCUGCGGCGUGGUUCGCCCUAACCAUGAAGAUCGCUACGCUUAUCGGGUGCGGCGGCUGGAGUGCCUGGAGCGCAUCUGUGACUUCUUCCUGCAGCAUCCUCUGAAAACUCGGAAGAACAUCGAGAUGCGUCGGUUCCGAAAAAUCGUUCUCCUGAUGAAGAAGGGACGGCACCGGACCCGAGAGGGGCUGCUGGAGAUCAUUGAGAUCGCCGCGCAGAUGAACUCCGCUAACCGCCCUGCCCUGGAACAGAUCCGCCAGGAGCUCUUGGCCGGAUGAAGAGAUGGUCCACCCCGUGGCGAAAGUCGCGGAACACGGUGAGCGAAAUUCCUUGUCGGGUAAGUGGAAACUUGCCCCGUCCCCUCGCGAGGGGGGAAUGAAAGCCGGCUCAUAUCGGGGAAGCCCUCCUGCGGGAGCGGGACCGCAGUGGGUAACCCCGAGGGAAGUCGUCCGGAGCGAAAGCGAAGGAUUGACCCCGUAACGACUGACCCGAAAGGGGAGGCGCACUCACCUCCGGUGCGCAACACGCCGGCUCUCACCCUUCUGCCUAUGGCAGAAGAAGGGGGCAACUAUGGAGGCGUCCUUCAAGCCAAAGGGAGGUGCGCGGUUGCAUCCAUGGUAUGUGACCGGUCUCGUGGAAGGAGAGGGCACCUUUAUGGUGAGUUUCAACCGGCGCCCGAAACUGCGGGUGGGGAUUGAAACGAGGCCCUCCUUCUCGGUCUCCCUCUCCGAACGGGAUCUGGAUCUCCUGAGGAUGUUGCGACGCUUCUUCGGGUGUGGGGGGAUCCGAUACAGCCGGUCCGAUCGGACAUACAAGUAUGAGGUGCGUUCGAUCACCGAUCUGGUCCGGAAAAUCAUCCCCCACUUCGAAAAGUAUCCGCUGGCUGGGGCAAAAAGGAGGGACUUUGAGAAGUUCGCCCAGAUUGUCCGGUGGGUGCAUGCGAACCACCACCUGAACCCGGACUAUCUGCGGGAGAUCAUCGAACUGGCCUAUUCGAUGAACCCCUCCGGCCGGCGGAAAUACGCGAAGGACGACCUCCUACGGUUGCUCGGUGAGAUGAAGGGAUAGUCUGCGCCCUGAGGAAACUCGGGGGAAACGCGAAGUUCCGACCCGCACGAAAGGCGUAACGACCGGGGCGCUGUCCCGAGGAGGGUCCCGGCGAAACUGCGAACUGCGUGAAGACGCGCAGUGCCCGCAGCGGGACAAAAAGACCCCGUGGAGCUUUACUGGAGCCUGGUAUUGGGUUAGGGUUUGGCCUGUGUAGGAUAGGUGGGAGGCUGAGAAGCCUGGGCGCCAGCCUGGGUGGAGCCACCGGUGAAAUACCACCCUGGUCAAAUCUUGGCCCUAACGCCGACCCGUGAACCCGGGCGGCGGACAGUGCCUGGUUGCCAGUUUUGCUGGGGCGGCAGCCUCCUAAAAGGUAACGGAGGCGCCCAAAGGUCCCCUCAGGCGGAAUGGAAACCCGCCGUUGAGUGCAAGGGCAUAAGGGGGCUUGACUGCGAGGCUGACAAGCCGAGCAGGGGCGAAAGCCGGGCCUAGUGACCCCACGGUUCCGUGUGGAAGGGCCGUGGAUCAACGGAUAAAAGCUACCCCGGGGAUAACAGGCUGGUGAGGCCCAAGAGUUCACAUCGACGGCCUCGCUCGGCACCUCGAUGUCGGCUCAAGCCAGUUGGGCCCCCGCGGGGGUAACCCUGCGGGUCACAUCCGGCUUAUAACGGGGGAGCCCUAACGACCAGGAAGAAGCUCCUGGGAUCGAGGGUAAUCCCGUGGGAAGUCGAGGAGCUGAAAAUGCUGCCAGAGCCGCUGCAUUCGGUGAUCAUCGGGAGCUUGCUCGGGGAUGCAUGUCUAGAACGUAAUGGCCGGUGGUGGCGCCUGCGUAUUGACCACAAAGAAGAAGCCUUCGCGUAUGUGGAGUGGAAGUACCAGAAACUUCAGCCCAUCGCGGCGGCGCCACCCCGGAGGGUGGUGGUGUGGGAUCGGCGCGUCGGUCGAUCUUACAAGCAUGCACGGUUGGACACGCGCAGCAUCCCCGAACUAUCCUGGUACGCAGAGCGCUUCUAUCCCCAAGGUCAGAAGCAGAUCCCAGAGGAUAUUGCUUCGCUGUUGACCACGACAUUGGCUUUGGCAGUAUGGUAUAUGGAUGACGGACAUCGCCGCUUGGAUUGCAGGGCUUUGCGCUUGAACACUCAAGCAUUUCCUCGACAAGAUGUGGCGCGGUUGGUGGCCGUGCUGAAAGAUAACUUUGCUAUUGAGGGGCGGGUCCAUCGUGUGGUCGACGAUCAAUGGGUGAUCUACAUUCCCGCCAGUCAAGCGCAACGGUUCUGCGAUCAAAUCCGUCACCAUAUACCUCCUGUCAUGGAAUAUAAGCUCCUCUGACCCCGUAACGACUGAGGGCCUUGGGCCCGAGAUAGCCUGCCCGGGAGCUCGGCUGGAGCUCCUAAUCUAUGGCGGCUAUCACACGCCGGACCCCUGACGGGCGAUGGUCAGGGUGAUGAUAUAGUCUACGCCACCGGAAACGGUGGGGAAACGUGCAUCGCAUCCUGGGGCUGGACAAGGUCCCAAGGGUCGGGCUGUUCGCCCGUUAAAGCGGUACGUGAGCUGGGUUCAGACCGUCGUGAGACAGGUCGGUCUCUAUCCGCUGUGGGCGUUGGGGGCUUGAGGGGUGCUGCCCCUAGUACGAGAGGACCGGGGUGGACGGACCUCUGGUGUGCCGGUUGUCGCGCCAGCGGCAUCGCCGGGUAGCCAACGUCCGGACGGGAUAACCGCUGAAAGCAUCUAAGCGGGAAGCCCACCCCAAGAUAAGGCCCCCCACCGGCUUUGACCGGGUAAGGCCGCCGGGAGACUACCGGUUUGAUAGGCCGCAGGUGGAAGCCCGGUAACGGGUGAAGCUGAGCGGUACUAACGGCCGAGGGCUUACACGUGACGCGGA
rnacentral:rRNA from 1 species